AGUUUAUUUAAAUUUAUUGACCUAGGAUGAAGUGUCCUCAAAUGUGUCAAUCGCAUCUUGUGAGUGAUAUGUGACACGCGUGAUUCAAUCAUCACUGGAUAAUUCUAGGUUUACAUGACUACCAGUGUACGGUGGACAUCAGGACAGCUAGGCAGUCAAUAUGGAGUCAACAGUUCUCGAAUCUGUCAUGUAAAAAAGAGUCCAUAGGGGGUUCCCAGUUUGCCGUAUUUC